rnacentral:rRNA from 1 species
CAGCCGCCGCGGUAAUACAGAGGGUGCGAGCGUUAAUCGGAUUUACUGGGCGUAAAGCGUGCGUAGGCGGCUUCUUAAGUCGGAUGUGAAAUCCCUGAGCUUAACUUAGGAAUUGCAUUCGAUACUGGGAAGCUAGAGUAUGGGAGAGGAUGGUAGAAUUCCAGGUGUAGCGGUGAAAUGCGUAGAGAUCUGGAGGAAUACCGGUGGCGAAGGCGGCCCCCUGGACAAAGACUGACGCUCAGGUGCGAAAGCGUGGGGAGCAAACAGGAUUAGAUACCCCGGUAGUCCCUGUCUCUUAUAC